rnacentral:rRNA from 2 species
UCAGGACGAACGCUGGCGGCGUGCCUAAUACAUGCAAGUCGAGCGGACAGAUGGGAGCUUGCUCCCUGAUGUUAGCGGCGGACGGGUGAGUAACACGUGGGUAACCUGCCUGUAAGACUGGGAUAACUCCGGGAAACCGGGGCUAAUACCGGAUGCUUGAUUGAACCGCAUGGUUCAAUUAUAAAAGGUGGCUUUUAGCUACCACUUACAGAUGGACCCGCGGCGCAUUAGCUAGUUGGUGAGGUAACGGCUCACCAAGGCRACGAUGCGUAGCCGACCUGAGAGGGUGAUCGGCCACACUGGGACUGAGACACGGCCCAGACUCCUACGGGAGGCAGCAGUAGGGAAUCUUCCGCAAUGGACGAAAGUCUGACGGAGCAACGCCGCGUGAGUGAUGAAGGUUUUCGGAUCGUAAAACUCUGUUGUUAGGGAAGAACAAGUACCGUUCGAAUAGGGCGGUACCUUGACGGUACCUAACCAGAAAGCCACGGCUAACUACGUGCCAGCAGCCGCGGUAAUACGUAGGUGGCAAGCGUUGUCCGGAAUUAUUGGGCGUAAAGCGCGCGCAGGCGGUUUCUUAAGUCUGAUGUGAAAGCCCCCGGCUCAACCGGGGAGGGUCAUUGGAAACUGGGGAACUUGAGUGCAGAAGAGGAGAGUGGAAUUCCACGUGUAGCGGUGAAAUGCGUAGAGAUGUGGAGGAACACCAGUGGCGAAGGCGACUCUCUGGUCUGUAACUGACGCUGAGGCGCGAAAGCGUGGGGAGCGAACAGGAUUAGAUACCCUGGUAGUCCACGCCGUAAACGAUGAGUGCUAAGUGUUAGAGGGUUCCGCC